rnacentral:rRNA from 1 species
UUAAGCGACUAAGCGUACACGGUGGAUGCCCUGGCAGUCAGAGGCGAUGAAGGACGUGCUAAUCUGCGAUAAGCGUCGGUAAGGUGAUAUGAACCGUUAUAACCGGCGAUUUCCGAAUGGGGAAACCCAGUGUGUUUCGACACACUAUCAUUAACUGAAUCCAUAGGUUAAUGAGGCGAACCGGGGGAACUGAAACAUCUAAGUACCCCGAGGAAAAGAAAUCAACCGAGAUUCCCCCAGUAGCGGCGAGCGAACGGGGAGCAGCCCAGAGCCUGAAUCAGUGUGUGUGUUAGUGGAAGCGUCUGGAAAGGCGCGCGAUACAGGGUGACAGCCCCGUACACAAAAAUGCACAUGCUGUGAGCUCGAUGAGUAGGGCGGGACACGUGGUAUCCUGUCUGAAUAUGGGGGGACCAUCCUCCAAGGCUAAAUACUCCUGACUGACCGAUAGUGAACCAGUACCGUGAGGGAAAGGCGAAAAGAACCCCGGCGAGGGGAGUGAAAAAGAACCUGAAACCGUGUACGUACAAGCAGUGGGAGCACAGAGCAAUCUGUGUGACUGCGUACCUUUUGUAUAAUGGGUCAGCGACUUAUAUUCUGUAGCAAGGUUAACCGAAUAGGGGAGCCGAAGGGAAACCGAGUCUUAACUGGGCGUUAAGUUGCAGGGUAUAGACCCGAAACCCGGUGAUCUAGCCAUGGGCAGGUUGAAGGUUGGGUAACACUAACUGGAGGACCGAACCGACUAAUGUUGAAAAAUUAGCGGAUGACUUGUGGCUGGGGGUGAAAGGCCAAUCAAACCGGGAGAUAGCUGGUUCUCCCCGAAAGCUAUUUAGGUAGCGCCUCGUGAAUUCAUCUCCGGGGGUAGAGCACUGUUUCGGCAAGGGGGUCAUCCCGACUUACCAACCCGAUGCAAACUGCGAAUACCGGAGAAUGUUAUCACGGGAGACACACGGCGGGUGCUAACGUCCGUCGUGAAGAGGGAAACAACCCAGACCGCCAGCUAAGGUCCCAAAGUCAUGGUUAAGUGGGAAACGAUGUGGGAAGGCCCAGACAGCCAGGAUGUUGGCUUAGAAGCAGCCAUCAUUUAAAGAAAGCGUAAUAGCUCACUGGUCGAGUCGGCCUGCGCGGAAGAUGUAACGGGGCUAAACCAUGCACCGAAGCUGCGGCAGCGACGCUUAUGCGUUGUUGGGUAGGGGAGCGUUCUGUAAGCCUGUGAAGGUGUGCUGUGAGGCAUGCUGGAGGUAUCAGAAGUGCGAAUGCUGACAUAAGUAACGAUAAAGCGGGUGAAAAGCCCGCUCGCCGGAAGACCAAGGGUUCCUGUCCAACGUUAAUCGGGGCAGGGUGAGUCGACCCCUAAGGCGAGGCCGAAAGGCGUAGUCGAUGGGAAACAGGUUAAUAUUCCUGUACUUGGUGUUACUGCGAAGGGGGGACGGAGAAGGCUAUGUUGGCCGGGCGACGGUUGUCCCGGUUUAAGCGUGUAGGCUGGUUUUCCAGGCAAAUCCGGAAAAUCAAGGCUGAGGCGUGAUGACGAGGCACUACGGUGCUGAAGCAACAAAUGCCCUGCUUCCAGGAAAAGCCUCUAAGCAUCAGGUAACAUCAAAUCGUACCCCAAACCGACACAGGUGGUCAGGUAGAGAAUACCAAGGCGCUUGAGAGAACUCGGGUGAAGGAACUAGGCAAAAUGGUGCCGUAACUUCGGGAGAAGGCACGCUGAUAUGUAGGUGAGGUCCCUCGCGGAUGGAGCUGAAAUCAGUCGAAGAUACCAGCUGGCUGCAACUGUUUAUUAAAAACACAGCACUGUGCAAACACGAAAGUGGACGUAUACGGUGUGACGCCUGCCCGGUGCCGGAAGGUUAAUUGAUGGGGUUAGCGGUAACGCGAAGCUCUUGAUCGAAGCCCCGGAAACGGCGGCCGUAACUAUAACGGUCCUAAGGUAGCGAAAUUCCUUGUCGGGUAAGUUCCGACCUGCACGAAUGGCGUAAUGAUGGCCAGGCUGUCUCCACCCGAGACUCAGUGAAAUUGAACUCGCUGUGAAGAUGCAGUGUACCCGCGGCAAGACGGAAAGACCCCGUGAACCUUUACUAUAGCUUGACACUGAACAUUGAGCCUUGAUGUGUAGGAUAGGUGGGAGGCUUUGAAGUGUGGACGCCAGUCUGCAUGGAGCCGGCCUUGAAAUACCACCCUUUAAUGUUUGAUGUUCUAACGUUGGCCCCUGAUCGGGGUUGCGGACAGUGUCUGGUGGGUAGUUUGACUGGGGCGGUCUCCUCCUAAAGAGUAACGGAGGAGCACGAAGGUUGGCUAAUCCUGGUCGGACAUCAGGAGGUUAGUGCAAUGGCAUAAGCCAGCUUGACUGCGAGCGUGACGGCGCGAGCAGGUGCGAAAGCAGGUCAUAGUGAUCCGGUGGUUCUGAAUGGAAGGGCCAUCGCUCAACGGAUAAAAGGUACUCCGGGGAUAACAGGCUGAUACCGCCCAAGAGUUCAUAUCGACGGCGGUGUUUGGCACCUCGAUGUCGGCUCAUCACAUCCUGGGGCUGAAGUAGGUCCCAAGGGUAUGGCUGUUCGCCAUUUAAAGUGGUACGCGAGCUGGGUUUAGAACGUCGUGAGACAGUUCGGUCCCUAUCUGCCGUGGGCGCUGGAGAACUGAGGGGGGCUGCUCCUAGUACGAGAGGACCGGAGUGGACGCAUCACUGGUGUUCGGGUUGUCAUGCCAAUGGCACUGCCCGGUAGCUAAAUGCGGAAGAGAUAAGUGCUGAAAGCAUCUAAGCACGAAACUUGCCCCGAGAUGAGUUCUCCCUGACUCCUUGAGAGUCCUGAAGGAACGUUGAAGACGACGACGUUGAUAGGCCGGGUGUGUAAGCGCAGCGAUGCGUUGAGCUAACCGGUACUAAUGAACCGUGAGGCUUAACCUU